rnacentral:rRNA from 1 species
UACGAAGGGGGCUAGCGUUGUUCGGAAUUACUGGGCGUAAAGGGCGCGCAGGCGGCCCUCCAAGUCAGGCGUGAAAGCCCCGGGCUCAACCCGGGAACAGCGCUUGAGACUGGGGGGCUUGAGUUCGGGAGAGGAGAGUGGAAUUCCCAGUGUAGAGGUGAAAUUCGUAGAUAUUCGCAAGAACACCAGUGGCGAAGGCGGCUCACUGGCCCGGUACUGACGCUGAGGUGCGAAAGCGUGGGGAGCAAACAGG